GGAAUGGGUAAGAUAUUAUAAAAUUUCUAAAAUUUCAUUCAACAUUCAAAUUGCUUUGCAAGUCUGUAAACACAAACACUUGCUUCGUCUUUCAUAAAAGCCAGAAUGGAGCACUAAGCAUUGCAUAUGGUUGUGGUUUAUGAGGAAAAAAAAGUAGGCACUCCAUUCAGUAGAAACACAUUCAAAGCAAGUAUCUUGGCACUACAUCAAAUGAACAUACCUUUGUAAGUUUUAAAUUUACAUAUAAUAUUCAGAGACUAUAUGUACCUUUGUGUGUAUGUGUGUGACUCACAGUUUAAUCAACUGUUUUGAUUACCUGACCAACUGCUUGUCCUUUUACAUCAGAGAGCAGGACUUUUUUUAAUUUAUUUUAUCUUUAUUUUUAACUUUUAUUCAUUUUUGAGAGAGACACAGCAUGAAUGGGGGAGGGCAAGAUAGAGGGAGGAGCUCCAGAGAGACAGAGACACAGAAUCCGAAGAGGCUCCAGGCUCUGAGCUGUCAGCAUAGAGCCCUAGAUGGGGCUUGAAAUCACAGAUCAGGAGAUCAUGACCUGAACCGAAAUCAAGAGUCGGAUGCUUAACCGACUGAGCCAUCCAGGAGCCCCUCAUUUCAGGUUUUUAAAUGCUACCCUUAACAAAACAUAUCUAUUUUUUGGCAAUAAAACUUUAAAAUUUUUUCUCAAAGAAGUACCAACAAGUCUAAGGGGGGGGGGUACUAUUUGGAUGUGCGGCUCCACACAGCAGAAUUCAAAGCAGGCUCCAGGCUCUGAGCAGUCAGCACAGAGCCCAAUGUGGGGCUUGAACUCACCAACUGUGAGAUCAGGACCUGAGCCAAAGUCGGACACUUAACUGACUGAGCCACUCAGGAGCUCCAGAGAGCAGGAUGUCUACCAAAUAUCUAAUACCACCCUUUUCACAAUGUAUUGUUUGCUAACACAUUUGUCUUCUUACUAGCUUGUGAAGUCCUUGAUUAUAGCAUUAGCAGUCUCCCAAUUAUUAUAUAUAUCUUUGAAAUUUUUUUUUUUAUAUUUUGAGAGAGAGACAGAAAGAGAGAGAAAGAGAGAAUAUGAACAGGGGAGAGGCAGAGAAAGGGAGAGAGAGAAUUCCAAGCAGGCUCCAGACUGAUAGCAUGGAGCCUAAUGCAGGGCUUAAACUCACACACCAUGAAUUCAUGACCUGAGCAGAAACCAAGAGUCGGUCACUUAACCGACUGAGCCACCCAGGUGCCCCUGAAAUAUAUCUUUGUACUAAAUAUUUUAAUAAAAAUAAGCCUAUUGAAAACUUGCA
rnacentral:lncRNA from 1 species